CCCCCCCCCCCCCCCCCCCCCCCCCCCCCCCCCCCCCCCCCCCCCCCCCCCCCCCCCCCCCCCCCCCGCGGAGGGCGGCGGCGGCCACCACCGAGGAGCGGCGGCGGCAAAGUUUUGGUGUGGGGGGCCAGAGGCGCGGAGGGGAAUUACGAUCGGUGCCGGCGAGGGAUUCCCAGACACCGCCAGGCAGGCCAGAUCUGACAGAUAGCGGAUAUGAGGACUUUGCUGACUUCAGAAAGCUGACAGAAAGCAACAGACCUCAGUGAAAUACCCCUCCAAGAACAGAGACUUUUGGUAGCAUUAAAUUGACCUGUUGUUCAACUACAAAGACAUGGCAACUGGUUCUUUCAGCACACAUGGAGGAAGGCAACAAACAUUGUAACCCUGGCUAAAAAGACUCUGUUUUCCUUAUCAAAAGUAGGAGUUAGGGCAAUUAUAAAAGGAUUAUUUUAUUGUUAGCCUCCAGGACUUUAACUCUGCCUGAACACUGGACAUAAAUAGAAGCCAAUUUUAAUGACCUGAGAUUUUGUUACCUGUGUGUUAUUAUUGUUAUCAGUUCCUGAAUAGUUUGGUAC
rnacentral:lncRNA from 1 species